ensembl:snRNA U6 U6 spliceosomal RNA
UGUGCUUGCUUCGGCAUACUAAAAUUGGAAUGAUACAGAGAAGAUUAGCAUGGCCCCUGCGCAAGGAUGAUACGCAAAUUCGUGAAGCGUUCCAUAUUUUU